rnacentral:snoRNA from 1 species
CUCCACAGCUACUGGUCUGGAACUGUUUGGAACUGUAGCAGUUGCAGUAUUCCCUCUGUGGAACAUGAACUGUUACAUGGUAUUAAGCUCCUGCUCAGAUCCUCUGAGAAGGACUUCCUACGUAACAAACAAUG